GCCCGCUUAGCUCAGUUGGCUAGAGCAUUACCUUGACAUGGUAGGGGUCGGGGGUUCGAGUCCCUCAGUGGGUACCA
rnacentral:tRNA from 1 species